AGAAACUAAACUUAAACGAGACGAAGGUUAUUUCACGGUAUAACAAAAAUAAGGCAUGCCAUAUGAAAAAAAAACAUAGAAAAGGAAUUUUUUAGUCGAUGUCUUUACUUUUGAAAGAUUCAAAUACAGACAUAGAGAUCAUGCCUGAUGGCAUAAUAUAACACAUUCGCGUAAAAAGCCCACGAGUAAAGCCUUUAACUCCAUGUUUUGAGAACAGAAGUUUGGCUAUUUCCAAAAUCCCCAGUUCCUUUUCAGCUUGGAGGCCGUAUUCAGCUUUACGCAUAGCUGAUGAAGUAGCCACUUGGUAUCGAGUUUUAACAAUGUCAAGAGGGGUUGAGAUAGUAGUAGCUACAACAGUACCUAAAGCUGAACAUAUUGGAGCAAUUACUGAGAUAUCCCAAUUGGAUUGCUUUUGUAAGUACUUUUUCGAUUCUUCAUAGCAUACCCACCAACUAACGGUGGUAGGCAGAUAAAUUGCGACUCCCUAUAAUUUAAGUUAGAAAGAGAAUUAACAAAAGAUUAAUCAAAAAUUUGAUUAAGUCUAUUUUUGUUUUUUAAUUUCCCCCAAAGGCCGU